AGUUCGAUUAAAGCUCAGAUUGAACGCUGGCGAUGCUUUUACACAUGCAAGUCGAACGGCAGCACGGACUUUGGUCUGGUGGCGAGUGGCAGAACGGGUGAGUAAUGUAUCGGAACGUGCCUGGUAGCGGGGGAUAACUACGCGAAAGCGUAGCUAAUACCGCAUACCCUUCGGGGGAAAGCGGGGACCUUCGGGCCUCGCACUAUUAGAGCGGCUGAUAUCGGAUUAGCUAGUUGGUGGGGUAACGGCUCACCGAAGGCGACGAUCCGUAGCCGGUUUGAGAGGACGACCAGCCACACUGGGACUGAGACACGGCCCAGACUCCUACGGAGGCAGCAGUGGGGAAUUUGGACAAUGGGGAGAAAACUCUGAUCCAGCCAUCCCGCGUGUGCGAUGAAGGCUCGGGUUGUAAAGCACUUUUGGCAGGAAAGAAACGGCACGGAUAAUACCCCGUGCAACUGACGGUACCUGCAGAAUAAGCACCGGCUAACUACGUGCCAGCAGCCGCGGUAAUACGUAGGGGUGCAAGCGUUAAUCGGAAUUACUGGGCGUAAAGCGUGCGCAGGCGGUUCGGAAAGAAAGAUGUGAAAUCCCAGAGCUUAACUUUGGAACUGCAUUUUUAACUACCGAGCUAGAGUGUGUCGAGGGAGGUGGAAUUCCGCGUGUAGCAUGAAAUGCGUAGAUAUGCGGAGGAAUACCCCUUGAUGGCGAAGGCAGCCUCCUGGGAUAACACUGACGCUCAUGCACGAAAGCGUGGGGAGCAAACAGGAUUAGAUACCGGGUAGUCCACGCCCUAAACGAUGUCAACUUAGCUGUUGGGGCCUUCGGGCCUUGGUAGUGCAGCUAACGCGUGAAGUUGACCGCCUGGGGAGUACGGUCGCAAGAUUAACUCAAAGGAAUUGAUGGGACCCGCACAAGCGGUGGAUGAUGUGGAUUAAUUCGAUGCAACGCGAAAAACCUUACCUACCCCGGAUAUGUCUGGAAUCCCGAAGAGAUUUGGGAGUGUCGCAAGAGAAACUGAACACAGGUGCUGCAUGGCUGUCGUCAGCUCGUGUCGUGAGAUACAAGAGUCCUGCAACGAGCGCAACCUUGUCAUUAGUUGCUGCCAGAAGUGGGCACUCUAAUGAGACUGCCGGUGACAAACCGGAGGAAGGUGGGGAUGAUGAAGCAGUCCCAUGGCCCUUAUGGGUAGGGCUUCACACGUCAUACAAUGGUCGGGACAGAGGGUCGCUAACCCGCGAGGGGGAGCCAAUCCCAGAAACCCGAUCGUAGUCCGGAUCGCAGUCUGCAACUCGACUGCGUGAAGUCGAAUCUGCUAGUAAUCGCGGAUCAGCAUGUCGCGGUGAAUACGUUCCUGGGGUCUUGUACACACCGCCCGUCACACCGGGAGUGGGUUUUACCAGAAGUAGUUAGCCUAACCGUAAGGAGGGCGAUUACCACGGUAGGAUUCAUGAUCAGGUGAAGUCGUAACAAGGUAG
rnacentral:rRNA from 1 species